rnacentral:rRNA from 1 species
UCUACGGGAGGCAGCAGUGGGGAAUAUUGCGCAAUGGGCGAAAGCCUGACGCAGCGACGCCGCGUGAGGGAUGAAGGUCUUCGGAUCGUAAACCUCCGUCAGCAGGGAAGAACGGUCACUGUGCUAAUCAGCAGUGAAUUGACGGCACCUGCAAAGGAAGCACCGGCCAACUCCGUGCCAGCAGCCGCUGUAAUACGGAGGGUGCGAGCGUUAAUCGGAAUUACUGGGCGUAAAGCGCUCGUAGGCGGUAUGUCAAGUCAAGGGUGAAAUCCCCGCGCUAAACGUGGGAACUGCCUUUGAAACUGGCAAACUGGAGUGUGUGAGAGGAUGGUGGAAUUCCAGGUGUAGGAGUGAAAUCCGUAGAUAUCUGGAGGAACCUCAGUGGCGAAGGCGACUAUCUGGCACAUAACUGACGCUGAGGAGCGAAAGCGUGGGUAGCGAACAGGAUUAGAUACCCUUGUAGUC